GAGGGGUAACGGCCCACCAAGGCAAUGACGGGUAGCGGGUCUGAGAGGAUGGUCCGUCACACUGGGACUGAGACACUGCCCAGACUCCUACGGGAGGCUGCAGUCGAGAAUCUUCCACAAUGGGCGAAAGCCUGAUGGAGCGACGCUGCGUGCAGGAUGAAGGCCUUAGGGUUGUAAACUGCUGUCACGCUAUAGGAACCCGCGUAUGUUAAUAGCGUGCGCGCUGACUAAAGCGAAAGGAAGUGCCGGCUAACUCCGUGCCAGCAGCCGCGGUAAGACGGAGGGCGCAAGCGUUGUUCGGAAUCACUGGGCAUAAAGAGCACGUAGGCUGUCUACUCAGUCGGAUGUGAAAGCCCCCGGCCCAACCGGGGAACUGCAUUCGAUACUGGUAGACUCGAGGACAGGAGGGGUGAGUGGAACUCCAGGUGGAACGGUGAAAUGUGUAGAUAUCUGGAGGAACACCGGUGGCGAAGGCGACUCACUGGCCUGUAUCUGACGCUGAGGUGCGAAAGCUAGGGUAGCGAACGGGAUUAGAUACCCCGGUAGUCCUAGCCGUAAACGAUGGGCGCUAGGCAAUGGGUUUCCCCUAUGGGACUCAUUGCCGUAGCUAAUGUGUUAAGUG
rnacentral:rRNA from 1 species